rnacentral:lncRNA from 1 species
UAAAACUCAAGUAUAAAAUAAGUUUGUUUGGAAACAUGUAUAGCAAUUUUUAAAAAAAGUUUGUUUGGAAACAUAAAUUACAAUUUUUAAAAAAAAAUUGUUUAGAAACAUGGAUUGCAGUUUAAAAAAAAUGUUUGUUUGGAAACAUAGAUAACAGUAUAUUAAGAGAAAUCAAAAUAAUGAGCUUAUAUUUUUAAGAAAAUUUGGAUGUCCAUUAUAUAAUGAGAAACUAUCUAUCUGGUACCUAUUCGGGUUCGGUUCAGGUAUGUUUGGGUUUCGGGUUUCCGGGGUCAAAGAUUUCAGCGUCAUUCUAAUAUUUCUAAAUUUUAGUUCGGGUUCGCUUUGGAUUUUUGCGGGUUCGGUUCGAGUUCGGAUAACCCAUUUAAAUUACUUUUAAAAUUUUAAAAUUCAUUAUAUAUUUAUAUAUUUUAAAUUUCUCAAAAAAAUAUAAACAAAAUAAUAUAUUAAAUAUAAAUUUGAUUAACAUAUGUCAGGAUACCUAAACUUAACAUAUAAUUAUUUUAGUUCAAAUAUUUGGAUAGAUAAUCAAUAAUUAUUUUAAGUAUUUUUAGUGUUUUAAGUAUACUUUUACUAUUUUAUAUAUUUACUAUUGGUUAUUUGUAUAUAUUUUCAAGUAUUUAAACCAGCUUAAAAGUAUCAUAUAUAUUCUAUAUGUUUUUAUAUAUAUUAAAUCUAAAAAUAAUUAAUAUAGAUAAAUAUAUAAAUCUAUUUCAGAUACAUUCGGAUAUUCGGAAUACUUCCAUUCGGAUCGGAUUUGGUUUCAGCUCUCCAAAAACUAAAAUUUGAAUAAUUCGGACAUUUAACCAAAAACUUAAAACGAUGAAAAUGCAAAACAGCAUAUAAAGAAGAACUCAAUCACGAUUCACGAUCAACGGUGAAAUUCCUCUAAAACCGAUCUGAUGAUGAUGCAUCAAAAAGCUGUCAGACUUAAAUAAAAAAUAUAUAUAUAUAUAUAUAUAUCUUAUAUGUGUGUGUGUGAAACCUUAUCAUGUACACAUUAUUCAACAACCUAGUUACGAUAAAGAUGAUGAAGAUAAGUUUGAUGAAAUUCCAAUGCCAAAUAUGUCGAUGAUGAUGAGAAUCAUGAAAUGGACAUUUUGCCUCAAAUCGUGAUCAUGUGGGAACAAGAUUAUUGUGAGCGAAUGUGUGUAUUCUGCAGUAAAACCAUGAUCACGGAUUACUUUAAGAAGAUAUCUUUUUACUGAGAAACAUACAUUGAAAAAUAAGAUGACUAAAUUUUAAGAGGCAUUUGAGCUAUAGCAGGAGAACAAUAUAACCAUUAAGCAUGACUUGAAUUGAAUGAAACACAUAAUAAAUUCCUAUAUGUUAAACAAUAGAUGUGCGGCAUUAUACAACUAUAUGGAAAUGAGAAUACAACUAUCUAGAAAAUAUAAGUGGUCUAAAAAUUGUUUUAGGCGUUAGACUCUCUAGAACCAUAGAGUUUUUUUUAUAAAACGCCUAGGUAAUUAUAAUAGGGUAAUAAUAAAUAAUAAAUAACUUAGUGUUUAUAAAUUGUAGUAAUUACUUUAUUUUAAUAUAAAAUUUUAUAAAAACAAGUAAUAUGAACAUUAGUAUUCGUAAAUCAUGAUACUUAAUCUAUUAUUAGUUAGUCAGUCUAUACGUUUACGGUUUACCAAUUAUAUAUAUAGUAUAUUGUUAUAAUUGGUAAACCGUAAUCAUUUAGGCCAACUAACUAAUAAUUUACUCGUCGGAUAGGUGUUAGGCGUUGAAUCACUAUUCGCUUAACGUCUAAUGAUUUCUUGAACACUAGACUAAAUUGUAGAAUAAACAAAUUUUUAUUUGAAUUGAUUAUAAAAUUGAUAUAACAGAAUAAUAUAUAUAUAUAUAUAUUUAUUUAAUCAUCAAAUACUGAAAAAUAUGAGUGAUUAAUAGUGUCUUCAAUCUUUUUUAUCCAACAUAUCUGAACAUGAAUGAAUUCACACAGUCUUUUGCCUUCUUCACAUCUAUCUAUUUUCUUCUCAUUACACACAACCACAAAGAUAUAAAUAGAUGUUAGGAAAAAAUGUAUAUGCUGAAUGAAUAUAAAUAUAAAUUUAUAUAAAAUUUACAAUUAUUGCCAAAACUUACUCGGAUCUUAAGCUGAAAUACAACGAAUAUUAACACAUUCAAUUCGCAUUGUUUCCCACAUUACUUAGAAUGUUUACCAAAACAUCCGAAUGAAUCUGGUUCGAAUGGACCACUGAUACGUAUGUUAACAAAAAUAUUGAAACGAGUUCAUGCAUGUACCCGAGACGCAGAAUAUAAGGAUGGACAGUCUGGCACACAAUGUCCGGAAACAAUUGUCCGGAAACAAUUGUAUACCUCAUAUUUAAUCAUAUGCAAAACUAACUUAAAAAAGUGAAAACUUAUUAUUUACCCUUUAUGACAAAACAAAAAAAAUCAGGAAUUAUUUUACGAUUCUGACUUUCGCAAGAAUAUCUGGUCCAUCUGCAAAUUCUAUUGUAUAAUCCAAAAAGUAUAUACAGUAGAACCUCCAUAAAUUAUUAAAGUUGGUACUUUGAAAUUUUAUUAAUUUAUAGAGAUAUUAAUUUAAAAAAAUUCAUUAUUAGAUUUCUUAUUUUAAGAUAUAUUUAUUUAAGAUAAGAAAAAUAUUUGAUUUUUGUGCAUAGACAUUAAUUGUUAUUUUUUUUUAAAUCUGACAUUUAUAUUAAUUUUAUUAUAUUAUUUGGUGUAUAUAAUAUAUAUUGUAUUGAACUUAAAUGUGGUUUUAGAUAUAAUAUUACUAAAUAUCAUCAAAAAUAUAUGAAGUGUUAAGAAAAAGUAAAUAUAAUUUCAUUGUUAAUAUAAAACAAACAAUAUAGUAAUAGGUUCUUACUUAUAUAAAAUAUGUAUACAUAUGAACUAUCAAUACAUAUAAACUAUUAAUUUAUAUAUUUACAUAGAAUUUUCUAAGAAAAUAUUAUCUUAUUAUUUUAUUGGUUUCUGUCAAAUUAUAAGUUUAUUAAUUUUCUUGUCUCAUUAUUUCUUAUUAUUGUUACAUGUUUCCCACUUUUUGGAAUCUUUAUUAAUACAAGCCCUCGAAUUCCAUUCAGCUCAUAUCACUAUAAUAAAGUGUCUUCAAGGAUAUUAAUUAGUUGAAAUUGACACCAUACUUGGGCUGUUGAUUGGGAAGAAACAUUCCAAAGAACUUUUCAAACUCAGGACUCUUCUGAUUCUCAUCGAACAUACCGAAUAUAUAAGUCUCGAUAGGUCUCCCUUGUCUUCUAGGAGAUCCACUCUUCACAGUUUGUAUCAAAUUGUUCACAUAAGUCCUUGCAUUAUCCACAUUUGUCGCGGUUCCUCCAGCUGUCGGCCAACCACUCUCCGAGACCACAAUCUCCACCGAUCCUCCUCCUGUUUUCUCCAAUGCCGCAUAAACAGUGUCUACGAGUGCGUGGAAGAGGUUUCGGUAUGCGUUUGACCCAUCAUUGACUACAGUGGACGGUGAAGUGAACAGAGCAUAGUCCAAACGGAUGUCUCUCAUGUUGUUGAUGUAGCUGAAGUAAGGGUAGACAUUCACGAGUAGUGGAGAUUGCUUGCUCACCAAGAAAGCUAUCACGGGAGCGAUAAAGUUUCUAAAUUCAGGUGUGAAUGUCCCACUCGAAGGAGGAAACCCACUAAUGCCUCUGGUGUCUAUAGCCGUGGAGACCUUGAUCCCGAGGCCUGAAACCGCUCUAUCGAUGUUCUGCAUGGCGGGGAGGACGAACCUCGAGGUUGGGUCCGAGGGUUGCACCUCGUUCCCGACCGAGAUGUAACGGAACCUUACACCGUUGAAGUUGCGGACGUUGUUGCGGACCCACGUGUCAGCUUCCGCUUGGCUGGAGGCGAUACGCUGGAGAUCAGGGUUGGGAACAUCGAGCAGAAGGUCGAUGUUAGAGCCUCGCAGAGCGGAGAGAACCUCUUGGUUGGGAUCGUAAAGCCGCAUGCGACGGAUGUUACGGUUGCGGUAAAGAGCCACCGCAUCAGCCGGACGUGGCAGGUUGUUUCCUAUUCUCCCGUAGCACACUCCGAUUUGCGCAGCUACAUAUAUGUAUAUCAAAUUAAUAAUCAUUAUUAAUAGAAAUAAGAUUUACAAUGAUAUUAUCGAUAUCGAUAGGUUAAAGAAGGUAGCUAAACCUGCCGUGUGGAAGAAGGAAGCCAUUAAGAAGCUAAGAAGAAGCAAUAACAAUGGUAGUGAGGCUAAGAACCUCGAUUGAUCACUAGACAUCUUCAUGAAAUAACAAUUGAAGAUGAUCUUAUAAUUUCGAGUUUUGUAUGCUUAGAUGCUUAAAACCGUAGCAUUUUGCGCCUAAUUUAUAGAGGGAAUCGGUGAUCUUAGUCAAUGAAAUGAAACAAAAAGUCAUCGCGUCAUAUCAUCACUAGCUGUGGAAUGUUGUAAAUUAAAUCACCGUUCAUGCAUAUCUCACUAAAUUCAUGCUUUGAAAAGUCUUGUAAGUGUGAGUUUUCUCCACAUGUAAGAGCAGCCCAUCGAUGCGAUCCUAUAAUUAAUGAUUUUUAUAUAUAUAAAGAAAAUUCAAUCAUAUAUGUGAUGGCAUAUGGAGGGAGAUGUUUUCAUAGGUUUCAUGUAAGCUUUAGAGAUAUGAGAACAUAUUUUCAUCGUUCUCCAAUGUUUUAAAAAAACAAUCUAGAUACCCACUAAAUUAAUCUCCUAAUAACAGCUUGGACCUUAAAGAAAAUAGUUUUUGGAUCCUUUACGUUUUUUUUUUGCUUUAGGCUGCAUAAAAAAAAUUAAACCUUUAUGUGUAAUUUUCUGUUGGUAGAUUUUGUUAUGGAACCAAAAGAAAUAAUAUACAUAUAAAAUAAUUUAUGAUUCUUUCUCAAUCUUGUUUUUGUUUUUCUUUGUAAUCCUCUUAUUUUUGUAUAGUUUCGAAAUGCUUAUAUGUUUUUUUUUUUGUUAAAAUGAUAUAGGUGGCUUUAUUUAAUUAUUAGGAUAUGUGAUUGAGCGGGGUGUCGCACUCCAUAAACCUAGCCGGCCCUUGAUGUAGCUCUCAAUAAGGCCUAACCAGCUAGACACUAAAAUCUUACUGUUAAAUGGAACGAAUCGUCCACCGCCUCAAAUUCAAAAAUACCGAGUCUCAAAGACUCAAAGUUUGUGUGGAAACUGCAACUUAUGUUUUUGAAAAUAGGCCAGAUUAAAAUAGUUCAUCCAGAUAACAUAUUUUUAUUUUUUUUUAAAUUUCUCAAAAAAAUAUAAACAAAAUAAUAUAUUAAAUAUAAAUUUGAUUAACAUAUGUCAGGAUACCUAAACUUAACAUAUAAUUAUUUUAGUUCAAAUAUUUGGAUAGAUAAUCAAUAAUUAUUUUAAGUAUUUUUAGUGUUUUAAGUAUACUUUUACUAUUUUAUAUAUUUACUAUUGGUUAUUUGUAUAUAUUUUCAAGUAUUUAAACCAGCUUAAAAGUAUCAUAUAUAUUCUAUAUGUUUUUAUAUAUAUUAAAUCUAAAAAUAAUUAAUAUAUAUAAGUAUAUAAAUCUAUUUCAGAUACAUUCGGAUAUUCGGAAUACUUCCAUUCGGAUCGGAUUUGGUUUCAGCUCUCCAAAAACUAAAAUUUGAAUAAUUCGGACAUUUAACCAAAAACUUAAAACGAUGAAAAUGCAAAACAGCAUAUAAAGAAGAACUCAAUCACGAUUCACGAUCAACGGUGAAAUUCCUCUAAAACCGAUCUGAUGAUGAUGCAUCAAAAAGCUGUCAGACUUAAAUAAAAAAUAUAUAUAUAUAUAUAUAUAUCUUAUAUGUGUGUGUGUGAAACCUUAUCAUGUACACAUUAUUCAACAACCUAGUUACGAUAAAGAUGAUGAAGAUAAGUUUGAUGAAAUUCCAAUGCCAAAUAUGUCGAUGAUGAUGAGAAUCAUGAAAUGGACAUUUUGCCUCAAAUCGUGAUCAUGUGGGAACAAGAUUAUUGUGAGCGAAUGUGUGUAUUCUGCAGUAAAACCAUGAUCACGGAUUACUUUAAGAAGAUAUCUUUUUACUGAGAAACAUACAUUGAAAAAUAAGAUGACUAAAUUUUAAGAGGCAUUUGAGCUAUAGCAGGAGAACAAUAUAACCAUUAAGCAUGACUUGAAUUGAAUGAAACACAUAAUAAAUUCCUAUAUGUUAAACAAUAGAUGUGCGGCAUUAUACAACUAUAUGGAAAUGAGAAUACAACUAUCUAGAAAAUAUAAGUGGUCUAAAAAUUGUUUUAGGCGUUAGACUCUCUAGAACCAUAGAGUUUUUUUUAUAAAACGCCUAGGUAAUUAUAAUAGGGUAAUAAUAAAUAAUAAAUAACUUAGUGUUUAUAAAUUGUAGUAAUUACUUUAUUUUAAUAUAAAAUUUUAUAAAAACAAGUAAUAUGAACAUUAGUAUUCGUAAAUCAUGAUACUUAAUCUAUUAUUAGUUAGUCAGUCUAUACGUUUACGGUUUACCAAUUAUAUAUAUAGUAUAUUGUUAUAAUUGGUAAACCGUAAUCAUUUAGGCCAACUAACUAAUAAUUUACUCGUCGGAUAGGUGUUAGGCGUUGAAUCACUAUUCGCUUAACGUCUAAUGAUUUCUUGAACACUAGACUAAAUUGUAGAAUAAACAAAUUUUUAUUUGAAUUGAUUAUAAAAUUGAUAUAACAGAAUAAUAUAUAUAUAUAUAUAUUUAUUUAAUCAUCAAAUACUGAAAAAUAUGAGUGAUUAAUAGUGUCUUCAAUCUUUUUUAUCCAACAUAUCUGAACAUGAAUGAAUUCACACAGUCUUUUGCCUUCUUCACAUCUAUCUAUUUUCUUCUCAUUACACACAACCACAAAGAUAUAAAUAGAUGUUAGGAAAAAAUGUAUAUGCUGAAUGAAUAUAAAUAUAAAUUUAUAUAAAAUUUACAAUUAUUGCCAAAACUUACUCGGAUCUUAAGCUGAAAUACAACGAAUAUUAACACAUUCAAUUCGCAUUGUUUCCCACAUUACUUAGAAUGUUUACCAAAACAUCCGAAUGAAUCUGGUUCGAAUGGACCACUGAUACGUAUGUUAACAAAAAUAUUGAAACGAGUUCAUGCAUGUACCCGAGACGCAGAAUAUAAGGAUGGACAGUCUGGCACACAAUGUCCGGAAACAAUUGUCCGGAAACAAUUGUAUACCUCAUAUUUAAUCAUAUGCAAAACUAACUUAAAAAAGUGAAAACUUAUUAUUUACCCUUUAUGACAAAACAAAAAAAAUCAGGAAUUAUUUUACGAUUCUGACUUUCGCAAGAAUAUCUGGUCCAUCUGCAAAUUCUAUUGUAUAAUCCAAAAAGUAUAUACAGUAGAACCUCCAUAAAUUAUUAAAGUUGGUACUUUGAAAUUUUAUUAAUUUAUAGAGAUAUUAAUUUAAAAAAAUUCAUUAUUAGAUUUCUUAUUUUAAGAUAUAUUUAUUUAAGAUAAGAAAAAUAUUUGAUUUUUGUGCAUAGACAUUAAUUGUUAUUUUUUUUUAAAUCUGACAUUUAUAUUAAUUUUAUUAUAUUAUUUGGUGUAUAUAAUAUAUAUUGUAUUGAACUUAAAUGUGGUUUUAGAUAUAAUAUUACUAAAUAUCAUCAAAAAUAUAUGAAGUGUUAAGAAAAAGUAAAUAUAAUUUCAUUGUUAAUAUAAAACAAACAAUAUAGUAAUAGGUUCUUACUUAUAUAAAAUAUGUAUACAUAUGAACUAUCAAUACAUAUAAACUAUUAAUUUAUAUAUUUACAUAGAAUUUUCUAAGAAAAUAUUAUCUUAUUAUUUUAUUGGUUUCUGUCAAAUUAUAAGUUUAUUAAUUUUCUUGUCUCAUUAUUUCUUAUUAUUGUUACAUGUUUCCCACUUUUUGGAAUCUUUAUUAAUACAAGCCCUCGAAUUCCAUUCAGCUCAUAUCACUAUAAUAAAGUGUCUUCAAGGAUAUUAAUUAGUUGAAAUUGACACCAUACUUGGGCUGUUGAUUGGGAAGAAACAUUCCAAAGAACUUUUCAAACUCAGGACUCUUCUGAUUCUCAUCGAACAUACCGAAUAUAUAAGUCUCGAUAGGUCUCCCUUGUCUUCUAGGAGAUCCACUCUUCACAGUUUGUAUCAAAUUGUUCACAUAAGUCCUUGCAUUAUCCACAUUUGUCGCGGUUCCUCCAGCUGUCGGCCAACCACUCUCCGAGACCACAAUCUCCACCGAUCCUCCUCCUGUUUUCUCCAAUGCCGCAUAAACAGUGUCUACGAGUGCGUGGAAGAGGUUUCGGUAUGCGUUUGACCCAUCAUUGACUACAGUGGACGGUGAAGUGAACAGAGCAUAGUCCAAACGGAUGUCUCUCAUGUUGUUGAUGUAGCUGAAGUAAGGGUAGACAUUCACGAGUAGUGGAGAUUGCUUGCUCACCAAGAAAGC